UGAGGACUGCCUGCCUGCUGCAGCCUGGGGCGAGGCGGGUGCUGAAGAGGACAAACUGGUUUUCACCAUCUCAACUUGGAGGUCCAGUCUGUCUCUAACUCACCCUGUCCAUAACUGAGGUUCUGAGUCUCCAGCUGUCAAGCCCAGCUCUGCAGAGAGUCACCCACACCUCUUGUUUGCUCAGGCAAACUACUUGGAGUCACUCCUGGCUCCUUCCUCUCCUAACACCCCACUUCUAAUCCAUCAGCAAGUGCUGUCAGCUCUACCUCCAGAUUACAACCAAGGUCUAGCCACGGGUCACGGAGGAACACCUUGGGGAGUGGAGCUAGGUCACUUUCCAGACCCACAGGAGCUGCUCACUCCCGCCUUAACCCCAAUUCCUGUGCACACCACACGUGUUGGUCACACACAGGCACCCACCGGGCCUGCAAGGCGGUGCUUGCUCCUUUGGGUCAGUGGAGGACCUGACACUUCCAGCCACGUUCGGGCCCCUCGGACUGCAAACCUGCCUACGUGACAGCGCCUGUGCAGGCCAACCUCACCUUCUUGCCAUCCUCACGGUCCAGGUGCAGAAAGCUGACGAGAAGGCGAGGCAAGCCAUCAUUUCCCUCCAACCUGAGGAACCUGUGAACACUGCCGUCCACCCUCUUGCUGGGCCCAG